rnacentral:rRNA from 1 species
UAACGGCUUACCAAGGCGAUGAUGCAUAGCCGAGUUGAGAGACUGAUCGGCCACAAUGGAACUGAGACACGGUCCAUACUCCUACGGGAGGCAGCAGUAGGGAAUCUUCCACAAUGGGCGCAAGCCUGAUGGAGCAACACCGCGUGAGUGAAGAAGGGUUUCGGCUCGUAAAGCUCUGUUGUUGGAGAAGAACGUGCGUGAGAGUAACUGUUCACGCAGUGACGGUAUCCAACCAGAAAGUCACGGCUAACUACGUGCCAGCAGCCGCGGUAAUACGUAGGUGGCAAGCGUUAUCCGGAUUUAUUGGGCGUAAAGCGAGCGCAGGCGGUUGCUUAGGUCUGAUGUGAAAGCCUUCGGCUUAACCGAAGAAGUGCAUCGGAAACCGGGCGACUUGAGUGCAGAAGAGGACAGUGGAACUCCAUGUGUAGCGGUGGAAUGCGUAGAUAUAUGGAAGAACACCAGUGGCGAAGGCGGCUGUCUGGUCUGCAACUGACGCUGAGGCUCGAAAGCAUGGGUAGCGAACAGGAUUAGAUACCCUGGUAGUCCAUGCCGUAAACGAUGAGUGCUAGGUGUUGGAGGGUUUCCGCCCUUCAGUGCC